rnacentral:piRNA from 1 species
UAUGGGCAGCAGCAACCAAUGGUUC